CGACGCAACGCGCAGAACCUUACCUGGUCUUGACAUCUCGGGAAUCAUUUGGAAACAUAUGAGUGCCUCGCAAGAGGAGCCCGAUGACAGGUGCUGCAUGGCUGUCGUCAGCUCGUGUCGUGAGAUGUUGGGUUAAGUCCCGCAACGAGCGCAACCCUUGUCUUUAGUUGCCAUCAUUAAGUUGGGCACUCUAAAGAGACUGCCGGUGUCAAACCGGAGGAAGGUGGGAUGACGUCAAGUCCUCAUGGCCUUUAUGACCAGGGCUACACACGUACUACAAUGGCAGGUACAAAGGGCAGCCACUUAGCGAUAAGGCGCGAAUCCCAUAAAACCUGUCUCAGUCCGGAUUGGAGUCUGCAACUCGACUCCAUGAAGUUGGAAUCGCUAGUAAUCGCAGAUCAGCACGCUGCGGUGAAUACGUUCCCGGGCCUU
rnacentral:rRNA from 1 species